rnacentral:rRNA from 1 species
CAAUAGCGUAUAUUAAAGUUGUUGCAGUUAAAAUGCUCGUAGUUGGAUUUCUGGUGGGAGCGAUCGGUCUGGCGCUUAGCGCGAGUACUUGCAUCGUCUCCGGCCAUCCUUGGGGAGAGUCUGUCUGGCAUUAGGUUGUCGGGCAGAGGAUCCUCAUCGUUUACUGUGAAAAAAUUAGAGUGUUCAAAGCAGGCUUAUGCCGUUGAAUAUAUUAGCAUGGAAUAAUAAGAUAGGACUUUGGUACUACUUUGUUGGUUUGCGCACCAGAGUAAUGAUUAAUAGGGACAGUUGGGGGUAUUCGUAUUCCGUUGUCAGAGGUGAAAUUCUUGGAUUUACGGAAGACGAACUACUGCGAAAGCAUUUACCAAGGAUGUUUUCAUUAA